rnacentral:lncRNA from 1 species
GCUUACCCCAUAAGUCAUUAGGUGACCCAUGCCCCAAGAACACAACCCACGCCCCAAGGACAUAAGCCCAUGCCUAAUAGGUGUUGGAACCUACACAUGAAAUGGAGGGAGAGAGAAAGAAGAAAAGGGAAAGAGAGAAAGGACGAGAGAAAGAGAGAGAGAGAAUGAGUUGCUGAGAGAGGGAGGGAGAUAGAGAGAGAGGAGAAAAGAGAAAAGAGAGAGAAAAUUCGAAGUGAAAGAGGAAAGAAAGAGAAGAAAAAAGAGAUAGAAGAAAUGAAGAAUACGAAAUCAGAUUUAGUUUCACGAGGUAAUCUCCCUAAUUUUUCUUAUUUCUUUACGUAUUUUUUGGUUUAAGAAGUGUCUAAAUGCUCUAGAGUGAAUGUUAUACUCUAUCCUAAUUAAAGUUAAGAAAUAUGUUGAAAAUACAGCACGAGAACGCAGUUUUAUAAUUAAGAUUCAAAUUAAAGUUGCGCCAUAUUUUUGUUUCAAAAUUACAGUCAGUGUUUUGGGCAAAACUCUCUCAUACAAAAAAUAUUUUUAGUUGAUUCAAGUAUCUUAGAAUAGCUACUUCAAAUACCUAUAAUUUUACUUCAAAUAGUAUUUUUGCCAAUUUUGAAGUUAGGAUACCCAAAAUAGGUUUGGAAGUAAAGACAGAAAAAUAGAGUUAUUAGGUUUUUCCCAGUUGGAUUGGUUGGAGUUUUUCCCGAUCGAUCGAGAAAAUAUAAGUUAAGUAAUGAUCUUUUCCCGACCAGUCGGACUUUUCUCCUAUUGGUCGAACAUUUCUAAAAUACAAGAAAAUAUAAUUCCCACUAAAUCAAAAAGUAAAAUUUCAGUUUUAGUACAAAAAUAAUUUUUGAAUAAUUAUUUUAAAACUGACUCUUCUUCUUAUUGAAUUUAUACAUUAUGAUAAAAAUCUCAUAAAAUCAGUUUUUGAACUAUUCAAUGUAUAAAGAACAAUUACCAGAAAAAAUAAUUUGAAGAAAACACUAUUUCAAAAAUUUAUUUUUUCACACUUAGCCGAAUUUUGACGAAAAAUAAUUUUUCAAGAAAACUUGUUAUACAAAUCUCGUUUUAGAGUCUCGCUUCACUAUGCACUUAUCCAACCAUAGUCUUCAAUACUAUUCAUUGAAAUAAAUAAAACGUAUAAAAAAUUGAUCCGACUAGCCUAAAAACACAAUAAAUGAAAGUAAUGCAAUACUCACGCAAGUAAUGUAAGUAACCUUAGUAUUUAAAGUAGAGUAAAUUACUUCUUUAUGCAUAAAAUUAUGUUAUGUUAUGCAAAUUAAAUUCAUGACGUAGAUAAGAAUUUUUAAAAUUUUUUUUGUAUAUAUAUGCCUACGUACCUCAUGUUUUUACCUUUUGGGAAUGUAUUUGGCGUCGGCGCACCUCAACAUACAGGGGUGUGGAUCUGUAUAAUACCCGACUAAGGGUAGGCAAUCAUAGUGCAUAAUAUAUGUUUCAAGAAUUAUGUUGACUAUACAAGAUGAUCAUUUAUAACGUAUGAUACCCAACUAAGGGCGGACACAUAUAUAAAUAUGAAUUUUGAAUAAGUUAUUUCAAAAAAGCAAAUGUUUUCACUUACGCUAUAUUACGUUAUGCUAUACACAUCGACCAUGAUAUUUUCAUGUCUUAUAUAUAUCAAAAUUUAUGUUAGAAAUUAUGAUUAUAUGCUAAGCAGUCAUGCUUAAGAACAUUAUUUCUAAUAAUGUUUCAAAAAACAAAGAUAAACAAGCGGAGUAGAUCGAUAGAACCCCACGUUUUGAAAUUCAUGUUAACAAUGAAAACUUUAAGAUUGAUUACGUUAUGUCAUGUAACAAGAACUAAUAGAUUUGAUAUUGUCUAACAUGGACCAAGAUGUUUGAGAUCUUUUAAAUAUGUAAUAUAUGUAAUUAUGUAUAAAUGAUAUGACAUGUACAGUCUCUCUACCGAUACAGGUAUGUAUUAGGAAUGAAUGAAUUUAAUAUUUAUUUUUUAUUGACUCUAAAAAUUAAAUAUACACAUUUUGUUUCCAUACAUGAAUUUUGUUUUUUAAAAAAAAGAUAAGAAAAAUCAACAUGACACCGCCCGGUGACACGUGAAGCUUCGCGGGUGUCGGGGGUUGUCACAUAAGAUUCUCUAGAGUACUCGUGGAGUACUCAAAAUCAUGCCAUUUUGUUUAUUAAAGAUGAGGAAGUGCUCAAAAUUACGCUGUAAUUUUUUACCUGGAGUGAUCAAAACGACGUCGUUUUGAUUAUAUUGAUUUUUUUGUUCAAACUCUCUAUCUCGUCUUUACUGUAGCUGUUUUACCUAGCAAAAACAGAAAUAAUGAUCCAUAAAGACUUGAAAUAUAGAUGAUUGGGCCCAACUUCAACGACAAGAAAAAAAUUGUAGUGGUAUAAAUGAUUAGUACAAUUUUUCCUUCUUUAGCUGCGUUUUUCAUUGAUCUAAAAUCUAAAAUAAUCUAAGUGGAAUCAAAUUUAAAAUAUUCAAGCACUAAUAAAUUGUUUUUUCCACAGACUGCAACUUGACGGAGGUGGGGGCAAGAAAUUGGACGGCAAAGGGAGAGACGACAAAGUAUUUGGAGACGGCGGCGACAGUGUUGUGGCCGUUGGUAAAGGAGGCGAGAGAAAUCGACGGAGCUGGAGUUGCCGGCUGAGGUAGAGAAGCAGUCAGCACUACGGGAGGGGCGGAGAAGAUGUUGGCAGUUGAGAUGUUGCAGGCAGCAGCGGAAUGGAGGGAGGGGCGCAGUUGUGUUGAUCAACAGAGCUGGUGGUAGUAGUUCGAGCUUCUAGAGAGAGAGGGAGGAGGGUUUGGGGAGGAUGGGUUUUGAGCUUCUAGUUUGAUUUGGGAUUGUCUUGUUCUGACUGAGAGAGAAAGAGAGAGAGAGAGAGUUCAUAGAGAGGGAGAGGGUUUGAACAAAAAAAUUCAGUAUAAUCAAAAUGAUAAACAAAACGGUAUUAUUUUGAAAACUCCAGGAGCACUCUGGAGGAUCCCCACUCCAUAGGAUCUUAUCCCCUUGUUUGAC